GAUGAACGCUGGCGGCGUGCCUAAUACAUGCAAGUCGAGCGAACGGACGAGAAGCUUGCUUCUCUGAUGUUAGCGGCGGACGGGUGAGUAACACGUGGAUAACCUACCUAUAAGACUGGGAUAACUUCGGGAAACCGGAGCUAAUACCGGAUGAUAUUUUGAACCGCAUGGUUCAAAAGUGAAAGACGGUCUUGCUGUCACUUAUAGAUGGAUCCGCGCUGCAUUAGCUAGUUGGUAAGGUAACGGCUUACCAAGGCAACGAUGCAUAGCCGACCUGAGAGGGUGAUCGGCCACACUGGAGCUGAGACACGGUCCAGAGUCCUACGGGAGGCAGCAGUAGGGAAUGUUCCGCAAUGGGCGAAAGCCUGACGGAGCGACGCCGCGUGUGUGAUGAAGGUCUUCGGAUCGUAAAACUCUGUUAUGAGGGAAGAACAUAUGUGGAAGGAACUGUGCACAGCUUGACGGUAACUAAUCAGAAAGCCACGGCUAACUACGUG
rnacentral:rRNA from 1 species